rnacentral:lncRNA from 1 species
UUUAUGCUUGGCCCACGGUCACCGUCUGUCUGUCCGUCGCCCACCACGCCUGCAGCAACAUCAAAUUGGACCCAUUUGUGAAGACCCAGUAGGGAACACUUUAAAAAUUCUUGACUCUCCAAGAAUAAAGUCUAUAUUUCAAUUAUAAUCCAACACACUUCUCUUUUAAUCGCCAAGCAAGGCUACACAUCGUGCUGGCUCUAGGAAUGAGUGAGGAAAAAUAAUUCAAAGCGAUGCAGAAGCAAACACACUAGAAACAGCCGAUCACAACACAAACUUGCACAAAUUUACUGUGCUACUAUGCCUAAUCCGAAAUUAAGAACACAACAGCACAGUCUUGGUAACCAAGCAAAAGCAAUAAGCACUACGUACUGGAAUGAAGACAAGCUGAUAGCUACUGCAAGCUACAAAGUACUCGAGCUAUUUCCUUGCUCUUGUACAUGUCGAGCUCCAGAACCAUGCAAAGGAAAUAAACUAAUGCUCCAAAGAUUAGUUAAUGGCUAAUUGAACAGGUGGCACACUAUUGCAUGAAAGUGACACUUCAUGAGCCAUCCAAUUAAAACCACCCAUAGCUGAUCGUAGCUCAGACAAAAUACUAGGAUGAACAGCUCAAGUUUUUGAGGUAAGGACUGUCCAAUAAAUGGUCACUAUACAACACAAAGAGACAACAUAUGUUGGAAAUUGAGGUGGCUCUAAUACCCACCAUACUGAGAACCUACACCUAGAACACCAACUUACUCUGGAGUCAGUCAGCCCUUUUAAUUUCUAGUUACUUAGUGCGAUGGGUCCUUUUGACGGCAGAGCCACCUUCUCACUUCCGGAUGGUAGAACCUACCAACAGAUGAAGCUGACUUUGGGGUGGCAGAGUCAACCUACGAUGAAGUUUAGACCCUUAUGAUCUCCGGUGACAAAGCCAACCUCCGAUGGAUCACAACUUAUGCACUAGGUCAAGAAACUAUAUGGCCCAACUGGGAGACUAACACUUGUAAGAAACUGAACUUUAUUAUAACACAACAAUAUUACAUAAGAGUGUACAAUACUCUUUAUUUAGUGGCUAGCCUAGCACUCACCCUUUACU